rnacentral:rRNA from 1 species
UACGGAGGGGGCAAGCGUUAUUCGGAAUUACUGGGCGUAAAGGGCGCGUAGGCGGUCUUGCAAGUCCUGUGUGAAAUCCCUCGGCUCAACUGAGGAACUGCACAGGAAACUGCUUGGCUUGAGUUCGGGAGAGGGAAGCGGAAUUCCGGGUGUAGCGGUGAAAUGCGUAGAUAUCCGGAGGAACACCGGUGGCGAAGGCGGCUUCCUGGACCGACACUGACGCUGAGGCGCGAAAGCUAGGGGAGCAAACGGG